GUUUUAGUAUUUGAAUUUUAUCUUAAAAGAAUUAGAAAGUCUGAGUAUGGAACAGAAGACCUGGCAUUGAGCCAAGACUAAGCAAUGGAGUUCAAGUAAAGAAGACAUAUUCUGAAGGAAGACAGCCACACCUCACUCUGCAGCAUGGUAUAAGUUUGCUAGGUAAGAACAGCAAGGUAGGAACAGGGUUCUGCGUAGAGAACGGAGCUUGUUUUAUACGUGGAGCCAGGUGUGUGGGUGGUCAGUACAUUCGCCAUGCACUCUGGAGAGAAGGGUACUGGGAGGAUAAAAGCCAACAGGACUGAAAGGCUGGGGAAGCUGUGCAAGGCUGGUGGUGGGUUUGUUAAGCACAGAAGUAAUAUGAGUUUUAGUGCUCUCAUCUAGAAUGAGCCUAACACCAAUCAAGCCGGAGGUAGUGAGACACGUGAUCAGUGGAGUGAUGAUCCUUGUAGAAUUUGACAGUUAGGGUCAGAGAUCUUUCAUAUGCAAAUAUGACCAGUUCCUUACACACACAGCUCAACCAGAUGUUUAAUAUUUAAUCACUACAUUCAAAUGCAAGGGGCAUUACUUCAAAGCUUCAAAGCAUAAGUACUUUUCUCCUUAGGAACUAUAAUUCAUUCAUUGUCCCAAAAGUUAAAGGUGUCAAGAUGGCUAUCAUUAUCCAUACAUGACGAUCACUUCAGUUAAACUUACUUCCACUGUAAAAUCUACCAGUCAAGUUACAAAGUUGUAUUGUGUAUACCUAAGCCACACACAAGACCUAAACAAAAAACGUUCUCUGGAUUUCAUUUGUUUAGUUCACUUUUUCUGUCUAUAAAUUUUGAAAUUGUGAAGCAUGAUUUUGAAAAUACAAAGUAUUAUUUUAAAAGUGAUCAUCCUAAAGCUAGUCAGAUAUCAAUUACAAUCUGCAUGGACCAUGGCAUUGAACCUAAUGAUCCUCCCCUCAGGAUGCAGGAGCAAUACAUUUGCAGAAAUGAAUUAGACACCAAGGGGCAUCAAACCGCCAGAUGGAUAAUUUGAUUCAUAUUAACUGACUAUUUCUGGUGUUUCAAAAAAUAACUGUCCUACCCAGAGGAGGACAAAGUUCUUUUUGUGAUUAACCUAUCGCUAUUCUACUGAAAUUACAGCAGGUGGAGAAAGAAGAUAUGCUAUCCGAAUCAAUGCACUAUCAUCUCCUGACUUAUGCUUGUUCAAUUUAUCAGUAAUGUGUGUCAGUUAAUAAAUAGCAUGCACCUAACUUUAUAGAUUAGAUAAUAAUAAGUUGAACACUUUGUAGAAAGCUCCCAAUCAGAUGAGAGCAUAUUGUGAGACCUGGAGGGUAAUGCCUGAUAGGUUCUGGCUCUUUCUUAGAAGCCAGAAAUUCCUAAUUGUAUCUGUGACCUCAAGCCUCUUGUACUAUCUUGUCAUGUGGAAUCCUGUGAUGCCCAUGCAGAUCUCACGCUAUUUUAAAGCAUUCAAACCUUGUAAAUUUGACUUUCUACUUGCCUCCCAUCUGAAUGCCCUUAUGAGGGGUCUCUUUCUUCAGUCCCAUGCCUUAAGGAAUGUACUUUGAUCAACUGUGUGGCCUUGUGGCAUGGCCUGCAAGAGAAUGUACAUCUGGCUCUCUGACUGAAAAAGCAUACUUAACACCACAAACCUCUUCACGAAAGUGCAUUUGCACAGGAAUGCUCUCAGCAAUAGUGACACUUGGCAAACAGAUGGCUCCUCCUCUGGUAUGUGACACUGACUUGAAUAUUCACUGGGAGACUUACCAAGCCAGCUUUCAUAUCCCUCCUUCACUAGAUGGUGGAGCUACAUUCUGAUUGGAUGAUUGUCCCAACUACUCUUGUCCUUCAUUCCUUUUCUUCCAGGUAAGGUUUUGGGAAGGAUUUGAUCAGGAACACCAGUGGCACCAGCAGGAGACUUGUCUCCUCUAUCAACAGUUAUCAGAGCUUAAUGAUGUCCCAUCCGCUUUCGACCAGCAAGAAUGACACGACCACCAGUUCUUCUAACAGCAGUUUAUUCAGCAAGCUUCAGUCUUCAUCUCUCUCUCUCUUCAUCUCUCUCCCUUCAUCUCUCUCUCUCUCUCAAACCCUGGGCCUCUCACUCUUAUAUACUCUCAGCCCCCAUCCACUCAUGGCAGGCCAUGUCACCUCACAAGGCACGCGGCUUCAGUUAAUCAGGGCAGCAGGGGCACGUCUCCACCAAAUAUGGACUUGUUUACACCACCAGCUCUGCAUCCCGCAGGUGCCAUCUUUCAGGUGCGGCUCGGGCAGCCCACAGCCUCCCCCAUAAUGACACAUAACUCACUCAGGUUCUGUGUCCUCACAGUUGUCACCACAGACCUUCUGAGACUGGCAUUCCUUUGACUAUAUAUUCCCAUUGGAAUAUGACAAGAACUCUAUGCCAUCCCCAUAGAACAACAGAUUUCUAACUGUAUUUGCCGAACUCAGUCAAACAAUGGUUACUGGCUGUUCCUUAUGCUUUGACUGCUUCUUGGAGACACUCAGAGCAACACAUUCUGCAAAUAUCCAGGUCCUGAUGAUGUUGUCUCACUGUUUUUUUCCCUUGGGGUAAACAGACCCAGGGAGUUCUGUCAUGUUCUAAGCGAUAUGACUCACAUGUGUCUUUGGAAACACCUUGCUAGACAUCGUCUGGUGUAAAAUGACCUUCUGAGAACGAAAUGCAGACUGUGCACAAGAGAUAAAAUAAAUAUGACCAAUCCCAAUUAAAGCACACGUCCCCAGCUCAUCUCUGAGCUAAUGUGUUCCUUAACAAGUAUUUCAUUGACUGGGCUUCACCGAAGCUUGGCAUCACAUUCACAGCAGCUGCUCAUCUGACUAGUCAAUGCCUUUCUUUUAAAGGCUCAGUGUGAGAGAGCACAUCCUGAGAGAUUUGCACCAUCAUAGGGCACCUGGCUCCUAUGGGAGACCACAUCCUGAGUCAUAGCUGGGAUCUUCAUUUGAGAACAUAGCUACUUUUCAAGUGAUAACUAAGUUGUUUUCUAGAAGAGUUGGUUAUUCUCAGAAGUUUUAUG
rnacentral:lncRNA from 1 species